rfam:Actinobacteria bacterium 13_1_20CM_3_68_9 13_1_20cm_3_scaffold_12082, whole genome shotgun sequence.
GGAGGGGUGGCAGAGUGGUCGAAUGCGGCGGCCUUGAAAGCCGUUGACCGGUUCCGCCGGUCCGGGGGUUCGAAUCCCUCCCCCUCCG